rnacentral:misc_RNA from 1 species
GAGCGGCGUGAGUGGUGUUUGGUGUGUGUGGGCAUGUCGGAUCCCUGCUCCGGGCAGCGACGGCAUUUCCCCUAUACCUCUUCAUUUGUGGGWACGAGCUCGUACUCGUCCGCUGUCGGUUUUCCUGUGUUGCAUACCYAUUGCGAGGGCAUUCGGUUGGCUUAAAUUGUCCCGUCUCCGCCUUGUGCUGGCGCUCCGUGCGGGCGUUUGGCGCGGGGUGGAUCUCACGGCUUGCGUCGUGUUUCGCGCCGCAUUCACCUAUCUUGGUGUUUGGGUAGGCGACCCACGACGUGAUGCCCGUUGUCUCGGGUACGGAACAUCGGGUGGGUUCGAGGCGUUGUCCUCCGAUCACCACACAAAUGCGUUCUACGCUUCUAUGCGAACGACUGCCGCACUCGCCCUUCGGCGGGGCACUCGUUGCUCGGUCGAAGUCGGGUCGGCGUCGGUGAGGGAUGCUACCUGGUUGAUCCUGCCAGUAGUCAUAUGCUUGUCUCAAAGAUUAAGC